GAUGAACGCUAGCGGCAGGCCUAACACAUGCAAGUCGAGGGGUAGAACACUUCGGUGUUUGAGACCCGGCGCACGGGUGCGUAACGCGUAUGCAAUCUACCUUAUACAGGGGAAUAGCCCAGAGAAAUUUGGAUUAAUGCCCCAUUAGUGUUAUAGAAUCGCAUGGGUUUUAUAACUAAAGUUCCAACGGUAUAAGAUGAGCAUGCGUCCCAUUAGUUAGUUGGUAAGGUAACGGCUUACCAAGACAAUGAUGGGUAGGGGUCCUGAGAGGGAGAUCCCCCACACUGGUACUGAGACACGGACCAGACUCCUACGGGAGGCAGCAGUGAGGAAUAUUGGUCAAUGGGCGCAAGCCUGAACCAGCCAUGCCGCGUGCAGGAAGACGGUCCUAUGGAUUGUAAACUGCUUUUAUACAGGAAGAAACCUCCCUACGUGUAGGGACUUGACGGUACUGUAGGAAUAAGGAUCGGCUAACUCCGUG
rnacentral:rRNA from 1 species